UUCGAGCGUCAUUACAACCCUCAAGCUCUGCUUGGUAUUGGGUGUUACCUCCUUGGCUGGUACACCUUAAAAUCAGUGGCAGUGCCAUUCAGCUUCAAGCGCAGUAAAUCUCUCGCUGUGGAGUCUGGGUGCAGUGCCUGCCAGAACCCCUAAAUUCAAAGGUUGACCUCGGAUCAGAUAGGGAUACCCGCUGAACUUAA
rnacentral:misc_RNA from 1 species